rnacentral:rRNA from 1 species
AUUGAACGCUGGCGGCAUGCUUUACACAUGCAAGUCGAACGGCAGCGCGGGCUUCGUCCUGGCGGCGAGUGGCGAACGGGCGAGUAAUGCAUCGGAACGUGCCCAGUUGUGGGGGAUAGCCCGGCGAAAGCCGGAUUGAUACCGCAUACGACCUGAUGGUGCAAGCGGGGGACCGAAAGGCCGCGCGCUAUUGGAACGGCCGAUGUCGGAUUAGCUAGUUGGUGGGGUAAAGGCUUACCAAGGCGACGAUCCGUAGCUGGUCUGAGAGGACGACCAGCCACACUGGGACUGAGACACUGCCCAGACUCCUACGGGAGGCAGCAGUGGGGAAUUUUGGACAAUGGGGGCAACCCUGAUCCAGCCAUGCCGCGUGCGGGAAGAAGGCCUUCGGGUUGUAAACCGCUUUUGUUCGGGAAGAAAUCCUCUGGGCUAAUACCCCGGGGGGAUGACGGUACCGGAAGAAUAAGCACCGGCUAACUACGUG